ACUGAGAAUGGAAGUGUAUGGUUAUGACGCGGACUAAUUGUGUUCUGUCCAUUAAUCUACAAGACACUGUUGAAGGACAAGAAUUACAGAUGAAGCGCACAAAAUAAAAAGAUGCACAGUUCAUGGGAUAGGGAUUAUGUAUUAGAGGCAAUUCACAGUACACACUAGGAAUAGGGGCUGAGAAAGAGGAUGCACAGUUCGCUAGAAACAGAUCAUGUUGUAGAAAAUAAUUAAAAGUUCUUUUAAUAGUGCUCAUGUUAUAAAAGAGAAUUCACAUUUCGCUCAAAACAGAUCAUGUUGUAUAAAGAGAAUUAAAAGUUCGCUUAAAAGCGCUCAUGAUAUAAAAGAGAAUUCACAUUUCACUAGAAACAGAUCUUGUUGUAUAAAGAGAAUUAAAAGUUCGCUUAAAAGUGCUCAUGUUAUAAAAAAGAAUUCACAUAUUGCAAAAGCUCUAAACUCAACACUAAAAUGAAUUGUGAAACGUUUAACUUCUUCAUUUUCGUCCUUAUCCGACCUUGGUAAUAAUUCCGCAUCAAAAUAAGGUGAUGGGUGCAUGUUGUAAAAAUCGAAGUCAUGUUAGGAUUGUAAUAAUAAACAUUACCAACUGAUGUCGAAA